GCACCCGUAGCUCAACUGGAUAGAGUAUUCGGCUACGAACCGAAAGGUUGGGGGUUCGAGCCCCUCCGGGUGCACCA
rnacentral:tRNA from 1 species